GACGAACGCUGGCGGCGUGCCUAAUACAUGCAAGUCGAGCGCAGGAAGCCGUCUGAACCCUUCGGGGGGACGACGGUGGAAUGAGCGGCGGACGGGUGAGUAACACGUAAAGAACCUGCCCAUAGGUCUGGGAUAACCACGAGAAAUCGGGGCUAAUACCGGAUGUGUCAGCGGACUGCAUGGUCCGCUGAUGAAAGGCGCUCCGGCGUCGCCCAUGGAUGGCUUUGCGGUGCAUUAGCUAGUUGGUGGGGUAACGGCCCACCAAGGCGACGAUGCAUAGCCGACCUGAGAGGGGGAUCGGCCACACUGGGACUGAGACACGGCCCAGACUCCUACGGGAGGCAGCAGUAGGGAAUCUUCCACAAUGGACGAAAGUCUGAUGGAGCAACGCCGCGUGAACGAUGAAGGCUUUCGAGUCGUAAAGUUCUGUUGUAAGGGAAGAACAAGUGCCGCAGGCAAUGGCGGCACCUUGACGGUACCUUGCGAGAAAGCCACGGCUAACUACGUGCCAGCAGCCGCAGUAA
rnacentral:rRNA from 1 species